rnacentral:rRNA from 1 species
UACGUAGGGUGCAAGCGUUGUCCGGAAUUAUUGGGCGUAAAGAGCUCGUAGGCGGUUCGUCGCGUCGGCUGUGAAAUCCCGAGGCUCAACCUCGGGUCUGCAGUCGAUACGGGCGGACUGGAGUACUGCAGGGGAGACUGGAAUUCCUGGUGUAGCGGUGAAAUGCGCAGAUAUCAGGAGGAACACCGGUGGCGAAGGCGGGUCUCUGGGCCGAUAUUGACGCUGAGGAGCGAAAGCGUGGGGAGCGAACAGG